rnacentral:rRNA from 1 species
UACCUGCGGAGGGAUCAUUACACAAUAAACAUAUGAAGGCUGCACCGCCAACAGGCGGCAAGGGCUGGAGUAUUUUAUUACCCUUGUCUUUUUGCGCACUUGUUGUUUCCUGGGCGGGUUCGCCCGCCUCCAGGACCACAUGAUAAACCUUUUUUAUGCAGUUGCAAUCAGCGUCAGUACAACAAAUGUAAAUCAUUUACAACUUUCAACAACGGAUCUCUUGGUUCUGGCAUCGAUGAAGAACGCAGCGAAAUGCGAUACGUAGUGUGAAUUGCAGAAUUCAGUGAAUCAUCGAAUCUUUGAACGCACAUUGCGCCCUUUGGUAUUCCAAAGGGCAUGCCUGUUCGAGCGUCAUUUGUACCCUCAAGCUUUGCUUGGUGUUGGGCGUUUUUUGUCUUUGGUUUUGUCCAAAGACUCGCCUUAAAACGAUUGGCAGCCGGCCUACUGGUUUCGCAGCGCAGCACAUUUUUGCGCUUGCAAUCAGCAAAAGAGGACGGCACUCCAUCAAGACUCUAUAUCACUUUUGACCUCGGAUCAGGUAGGGAUACCCGCUGAACUUAAGCAUAUCA